AUAGCUAGCUGUCUCACUGCUGUGGUCACACACUCUCAGUGGCUUCAGCUGAAAUACACACAACUAAGCCAAUAGCAUUUCAAUAUUGGUAGACCGGAAGUAGUGACUGCAAUCAUAUUCAGUUAGGUAAUUACUACAGUUAAAUGCUACAACAGGACUUCGUGAGAUAACGCUCAUAAUUAACUUUCCAAUUUAGUUUACCUCAUAUACUUAGUGAUUGCCCCAUGAAUCUGCUUUCUUCCACUGAAAUAAGUGAAGAGUUCAUUUUCAAGAGCUCCAACCACAAAUGUCCAUACUUCAUACUUCUGACAGUGAUCUGACCAUGUCAUAGACCGGAGAGAUGGCUUAGAGGGUAGGAGCACUUGCUGCCAGGCCUGAUCACCUGAGUUCCAGCUCCGGGACUAACGUAGUGGGAGAAGAACCAACUCUUCCAAAUUGUUCUUUGAAGGGUAUAACCAAAAAUUGUAUAACUUUGAAUGCUGAUGGCAGCAGCUUUGAUUAUGAGGAUAACUCCAUCAAUAUGUAAGUACUGUGGAUAGCAAGAGAGAGAUGGCAAAACUAGCUAACAAAACUGUCUACUGCACUAAACAACCCUGAGAGAAAUCAGAAUGGGAGCCAAUAGAUUCCUUUCCUACUUAGUAUCAGACAGCAGUUCUUUCACUUACAUCUGAAGGCAUGUUAAAUUAUAUAAAUGAUAUCAAGAAAAAGCACUGGUGAAGAAACAAAGCUGCGAUGGAAAGUUAUUUUAAAGUUUGGCGUCAUAAGACCUACGUGAUCAUGACAGCUUUUUAAAGACUUGUACUCUGGUCUAAUUAGACUAGAUCAAAAGACAGGAUGUUCAUAAUUCUCCAACUAAGAAAACUGCCCUGCUUACUUUGUAUAAAUGAAGUAAAAAAAAAAAAAUCUUGAAAGAGUUCUGAUGGGGUUUGUCCUUGCCUCAGGGUCACACUAUGUCUCCAAACUGAUCCUUGGUGUCUGUACUUAAUUCCUCCAGUUUUGGAUCUUUAUCUGCUGUUAAUAAAGACUUCAGUUCUGA